GGUAGUGUAGCAUAGUUCAUAAUGCGCUUCAUUUACAUUGAAGAUUAUCUUUUAUACAUAAAGCAUUGCCU
rnacentral:tRNA from 1 species